rnacentral:rRNA from 1 species
UACGUAGGGUCCGAGCGUUGUCCGGAAUUAUUGGGCGUAAAGAGCUCGUAGGCGGUUCGGCAAGUCGGGUGUGACAACUCCAGGCUCAACCUGGAGAGGUCACUCGAUACUGCUGUGACUAGAGUCCGGUAGGGGAGCAUGGAAUUCCCGGUGUAGCGGUGAAAUGCGCAGAUAUCGGGAGGAACACCAGUGGCGAAGGCGGUGCUCUGGGCCGGAACUGACGCUGAGGCGCGAAAGCCAGGGGAGCAAACGGG